GGUAAUGUAGCUAAAUACAAAUAAAGCAUCUCCCACAUGAAGAAAAUGCCCGUGAAAACCGGGCCACCCUCA
rnacentral:tRNA from 1 species